rnacentral:sRNA from 1 species
ACAAUUUACGUAAUCACUGGUGGUAGG